GUAGGUGGCAAGCGUUGUCCGGAAUUAUUGGGCGUAAAGCGCGCGCAGGCGGUUCUUUAAGUCUGAUGUGAAAGCCCACGGCUCAACCGUGGAAGGUCAUUGGAAACUGGAGAACUUGAGUACAGAAGAGGAAAGCGGAAUUCCACGUGUAGCGGUGAAAUGCGUAGAGAUGUGGAGGAACACCAGUGGCGAAGGCGGCUUUCUGGUCUGUAACUGACGCUGAGGCGCGAAAGCGUGGGGAGCAAACAGGAUUAGAUACCCUGGUAGUCCACGCCGUAAACGAUGAGUGCUAAGUGUUAGGGGGGUUUUCCGCCCCCCUUAGUGCUGCAGCUAACGCAUUAAGCACUCCGCCUGGGAGUACGGCCGCAAGGCUA
rnacentral:rRNA from 1 species